UACGGGGGGGGCAAGCGUUGUUCGGAAUUACUGGGCGUAAAGGGCUCGUAGGCGGCCAACUAAGUCGGAUGUGAAAUCCCCAGGCUCAACCUGGGAACUGCAUCCGAUACUGGAUGGCUUGAAUUCGGGAGAGGGAUGCAGAAUUCCAGGUGUAGCGGUGAAAUGCGUAGAUAUCUGGAGGAAUACCGGUGGCGAAGGCGGCAUCCUGGACCGACAUUGACGCUGAGGAGCGAAAGCCAGGGGAGCAAAGCGGG
rnacentral:rRNA from 1 species